CUGGCGGCAGGCCUAACACAUGCAAGUCGAGCGGUAGAGAGGUGCUUGCACCUCUUGAGAGCGGCGGACGGGUGAGUAAUGCCUAGGAAUCUGCCUGGUAGUGGGGGAUAACGCUCGGAAACGGACGCUAAUACCGCAUACGUCCUACGGGAGAAAGCAGGGGACCUUCGGGCCUUGCGCUAUCAGAUGAGCCUAGGUCGGAUUAGCUAGUUGGUGAGGUAAUGGCUCACCAAGGCGACGAUCCGUAACUGGUCUGAGAGGAUGAUCAGUCACACUGGAACUGAGACACGGUCCAGACUCCUACGGGAGGCAGCAGUGGGGAAUAUUGGACAAUGGGCGAAAGCCUGAUCCAGCCAUGCCGCGUGUGUGAAGAAGGUCUUCGGAUUGUAAAGCACUUUAAGUUGGGAGGAAGGGCAGUUACCUAAUACGUAAUUGUUUUGACGUUACCGACAGAAUAAGCACCGGCUAACUCUGUGCCAGCAGCCGCGGUAAUACAGAGGGUGCAAGCGUUAAUCGGAAUUACUGGGCGUAAAGCGCGCGUAGGUGGUUCGUUAAGUUGGAUGUGAAAGCCCCGGGCUCAACCUGGGAACUGCAUUCAAAACUGUCGAGCUAGAGUAUGUAGUAGGGGUG
rnacentral:rRNA from 1 species